rnacentral:lncRNA from 1 species
GGAUACCGACUAUGGGAUCCCUUAGAGAAGAAGGUCAUUAUCAGUAGAGAUGUCACCUUCGAUGAAAAUUCAGUUCUUCAAAGGCGAGAUGGCAUGGAGGAGCAGCAAGAGCAGCAGGAGGUCCAGCAGGGCAGCACUGGACAACUUACAUCCUAUUCUCUUUUACCUUUUGUAGGUACAUCAGGAGAACUUGGUAUUCAGGUGGAGCACUUUUCAUAUGUGUCUCCACAGGUGGAG